GAUGAACGCUAGCUACAGGCUUAACACAUGCAAGUCGAGGGGUAACGAGAGGGAAGCUUGCUUUCCUUGUCGACGACCGGCGCACGGGUGAGUAACGCGUAUCCAACCUGCCCCCAACUAGGGAAUAACCUUGCGAAAGUAAGACUAAUACCCUAUAAUUUCCUCAGAUGUCAUCUGACGAGGAAUAAAGAUUUAUCGGUUGUGGAUGGGGAUGCGUCUGAUUAGCUUGUUGGCGGGGUAACGGCCCACCAAGGCAACGAUCAGUAGGGGUUCUGAGAGGAAGGUCACCCACAUUGGAACUGAGACACGGUCCAAACUCCUACGGGAGGCAGCAGUGAGGAAUAUUGGUCAAUGGGCGGAAGCCUGAACCAGCCAAGUAGCGUGCAGGAUGACGGCCCUAUGGGUUGUAAACUGCUUUUAUACAGGAAUAAAGUUAGCCACGUGUGGUUAUUUGUAGGUACUGUAUGAAUAAGGACCGGCUAAUUCCGUGCCAGCAGCCGCAGUAA
rnacentral:rRNA from 1 species